GACGAACGCUGGCGGCGGGCUUAACACAUGCAAGUCGAACGGAAAGGCCCUGCUUUUGUGGGGUGCUCGAGUGGCGAACGGGUGAGUAACACGUGAGUAACCUGCCCUUGACUUUGGGAUAACUUCAGGAAACUGGGGCUAAUACCGGAUAGGAGCUCCUGCUGCAUGGUGGGGGUUGGAAAGUUUCGGCGGUUGGGGAUGGACUCGGGGCUUAUCAGCUUGUUGGUGGGGUAGUGGCUUACCAAGGGUUUGACGGGUAGCCGGCCUGAGAGGGUGACCGGCCACAUUGGGACUGAGAUACGGCCCAGACUCCUACGGGAGGCAGCAGUGGGGAAUAUUGCACAAUGGGCGGAAGCGUGAUGAAGCAACGCCGCGUGCGGGAUGACGGCCUUCGGGUUGUAAACCGCUUUCGCCUGUGACGAAGCGUGAGUGACGGUAAUGGGUAAAGAAGCACCGGCUAACUACGUG
rnacentral:rRNA from 1 species